UAAAGAUUCAUCGCUGAUAGAUAGGCAUGCGUUCCAUUAGGCAGUUGGCGGGGUAACGACCCACCAAACCGACGAUGGAUAGGGGUUCUGAGAGGAAGGUCCCCCACAUUGGUACUGAGACACGGACCAAACUCCUACGGGAGGCAGCAGUGAGGAAUAUUGGUCAAUGGGCGUAAGCCUGAACCAGCCAAGUCGCGUGAGGGAUGAAGGUUCUAUGGAUCGUAAACCUCUUUUAUAAGGGAAUAAAGUGUGGGACGUGUCCUGUUUUGUAUGUACCUUAUGAAUAAGGAUCGGCUAACUCCGUGCCAGCAGCCGCGGUAAUACGGAGGAUCCGAGCGUUAUCCGGAUUUAUUGGGUUUAAAGGGUGCGUAGGCGGCCUUUUAAGUCAGCGGUGAAAGUCUGUGGCUCAACCAUAGAAUUGCCGUUGAAACUGGGAGGCUUGAGUAUGUUUGAGGCAGGCGGAAUGCGUGGUGUAGCGGUGAAAUGCUUAGAUAUCACGCAGAACCCCGAUUGCGAAGGCAGCCUGCCAAGCCAUGACUGACGCUGAUGCACGAAAGCGUGGGGAUCAAACAGGAUUAGAUACCCUGGUAGUCCACGCAGUAAACGAUGAUCACUAGCUGUUUGCGAUACAGUGUAA
rnacentral:rRNA from 1 species